AUCCCUUGACAUCCAGUGAAUUAUCUAGAGAUAGAUAAGUGCCUUCGGGAACACUGAGACAGGUGCUGCAUGGCUGUCGUCAGCUCGUGUUGUGAGAUGUUGGGUUAAGUCCCGCAACGAGCGCAACCCUUAUCCUUAGUUGCCAGCACGUAAUGGUGGGAACUCUAGGGAGACUGCCGGUGACAAACCGGAGGAAGGUGGGGAUGACGUCAGGUCAUCAUGGCCCUUACGGCCAGGGCUACACACGUGCUACAAUGGUGCGCACAGAGGGCUGCAAACCCGCGAGGGGGAGCCAAUCUCACAAAACGCAUCGUAGUCCGGAUCGCAGUCUGCAACUCGACUGCGUGAAGUCGGAAUCGCUAGUAAUCGUGAAUCAGAAUGUCACGGUGAAUACGUUCCCGGGCCU
rnacentral:rRNA from 1 species